GCGCUCCCUCCCCCCCUCCACGCCAUUCACCGCAGCAGCGCUCUCAAAAAUUUUCCACAUGUCCUGUGUCACCCAGUGCAGCCUGUACAAUGAAAACCAGAACGCCGGCUCCCCAUGGCCGGUCUUUUAUUAAUCACUGGGGGAGGGAGGCCAGGCUGGGAUCAAGACACUUUACAGUCUGGAGCACCAGGUCUCCUCUGUACCUGCCAGAACCCACUGGGUUGAACCGCCUAGCUAAGCAAGAUGAGUCCAAAUACUUGGCGAUGUUCCUAGCCCAUGCACCCCAACCGAGGACAGCACUGAUGGCUGCCCUUGGUACCAGACUUGACCGAGGACAGUGAGGCCGCCGCGAGGGCUUCCCGCUCUGACGCCCCGCCUUCUGGCAGCCCCAGGGCAGGAAAGCGCCGGCGACGACGGGUCUCCGAAGCCCGGUGGUGGAAACCCCCGGAUUAAUGCUUUAGGAAAAGGCAAAUACUUCCGUCACGGAACCGGCCUGGGAGUACAUGUGUAAAUCAC
ensembl:lncRNA